rnacentral:tRNA from 1 species
GCUCCAUUAGCAUAGCGGUAAGUGCAUCCGGCUUUCUACCGGACGAUAAGGGUUCGAUUCCCUUAUGGAGUAC